CUCAGGUUCUAUCUUUCGCUUGGAAAGCUCUUGGAGUUGCUGUAAUUAUAUGUUUAUAUACAUGCCAAAAUUAAAUAAAUGUUUAAGUGAAGAGAAUAAGGGUCUAAGAGGAGCAUUUCAGCCUGCUUUUCUCUUGUGGGAUUGAAAGGAAGAUUUGAAGCAAAAUUCUAUUAAGUUUCAUUGCUUAUAGAGAGGAGAUCUGAGUCAGUUCUUUCUCUGUACUUUUCUAAUGAAAAUUUCCAUUUGCUCGGUGACUUUUUCCAAUAUCUUUAAAAAGAAAAAAAAAAAAAAAAACAGAAUC